rnacentral:tRNA from 1 species
GAGGGUGUAGCUCAGUGAUAGAGCGCAUGCCUGCCUAGUAUGCACGAGGCCCCGGGUUCAAUCCCCAGGGCCUUCU